GACAGAGGGUGCAAACGUUGUUCGGAAUUACUGGGCGUAAAGCGAGUGUAGGCGGUUUCCUAAGUCGGAUGUGAAAGCCCCGGGCUCAACCCGGGAAGUGCAUUCGAAACUGGGAGGCUAGAGUAUCGGAGAGGUUGGUGGAAUUCUCGGUGUAGAGGUGAAAUUCGUAGAUAUCGAGAGGAACACCGGUGGCGAAGGCGGCCAACUGGACGAAUACUGACGC
rnacentral:rRNA from 1 species